CCCGCCGGACCUGACUGCUAUCGGAUUGAUACUAAGCCAUGCGAGUCAUUGUAGUAAUACAAGGCAUACGGCUCAGUAACGCGUAGUCAACCUAACCUAUGGACGGGAAUAACCUCGGGAAACUGAGUAUAAUGCCCGAUAGAACAUUAUGCCUGGAAUGGUUUAUGUUCCAAAUGAUUUAUCGCCGUAGGAUGGGACUGCGGCCUAUCAGUUUGUUGGUGAGGUAAUGGCCCACCAAGACUAUUACAGGUACGGGCUCUGAGAGGAGUAGCCCGGAGAUGGGUACUGAGACACGGACCCAGGCCCUAUGGGGCGCAGCAGGCGAGAAAACUUUGCAAUGUGCGAAAGCACGACAAGGUUAAUCCGAGUGGUUUCUGCUAAAGGAACCUUUUGUUAGUCCUAGAAACACUAACGAAUAAGGGGUGGGCAAGUUCUGGUGUCAGCCGCCGCGGUAAAACCAGCACCUCAAGUGGUCAGGAUGAUUAUUGGGCCUAAAGCAUCCGUAGCCGGAUCUGUAAGUUUUCGGUUAAAUCUGUACGCUCAACGUACAGGCUGCCGGGAAUACUGCAGAUCUAGGGAGUGGGAGAGGUAGACGGUACUCGGGAGGAAGGGGUAAAAUCCUUUGAUC
rnacentral:rRNA from 1 species